rfam:Schistosoma curassoni strain Dakar, Senegal genome assembly, scaffold: SCTD_contig0015961
GCACUGCUGAGGAGUCCCACAACAGGAAGAAACGGCCGUUCAGUGU